rnacentral:rRNA from 1 species
CCUACGGGAGGCAGCAGUGGGGAAUAUUGCGCAAUGGGCGAAAGCCUGACGCAGCGACGCCGCGUGAGGGAUGAAGGUCUUCGGAUCGUAAACCUCUGUCAGCAGGGAAGAACGGUCACUGUGCUAAUCAGCAGUGAAUUGACGGUAACUGCAAAGGAAGCACCGGCUAACUCCGUGCCAGCAGCCGCGGUAAUACGGAGGGUGCGAGCGUUAAUCGGAAUUACUGGGCUUGAAGCGCUCGUAGGCGGGUGGAUAAGUUGAAUGUGAAAUCUAUGGGCGCAAACCAUAGCUGCGUUCGAAACUGUUCGUCUUGAGUGAAGUAGAGGCAGGCGGAAUUCCUAGUGUAGCGGUGAAAUGCGUAGAUAUCACGCAGAACUCCGAUUGCGAAGGCAGCAUACCGGCGCUCAACUGACGCUCAUGCACGAAAGUGUGGGUAUCGAACAGGAUUAGAUACCCUUGUAGUC